rnacentral:piRNA from 1 species
UAGACAGAAGUCUAAUAACGAGGCCGUGUC